GCGAACAAGUACCGUGAGGGAAAGAUGAAAAGAACCCCGAUGAGGGGAGUGAAAUAGAAUCUUGAAACCAUGUGCUUACAAACAGUCAAAGGGCUAUUGUAAAGCCUGAUGGCGUACCUUUUGCAUUAUGAGCCGCCGAGUUAUGGUGUGUAGCGAGAUUAAGCCGUUGAAGGUGUAGUCGUAGGGAAACCGAGUCUGAAUAGGGCGAUAGUUGCAUGCUGUAGACCCGAAACGGGAUGAGCUUACCAUGGGCAGGUUGAAGCGAGGGUAAAACUUCGUGGAGGACCGAACGCAUAUAGGUUGAAAACUGUUGCGAUGACUUGUGGUAAGGGGUGAAAGGCCAAUCAAAUUCCGUGAUAGCUGGUUCUCCUCGAAAUGCAUUUAGGUGCAGCGUCUAUUGAUUACUACCGGGGGUAUAGCACUGAAUUGGCUAGGGGGCUCACCAGCUUACCAAACCAUAUCAAACUCAGAAUACCGGUAAGUACAGAUAGGCAGUGACACUAUGGAUGCUAAGGUCCAUAGUGGAAAGGGAAAGAGCCCAGAUCGACAUCUAAGGUCCCUAAAUUGUCACUAAGUGGGAAAGGUUGUGGAACUACUUUGACAUCCAGGAGGUUGGCUUAGAAGCAGCCAUCCUUUAAAGAAAGCGUAACAGCUCACUGGUCAAGUGAUUUUGCGGCGAAGAUUCAACGGGGCUUAAACAUAACACCGAAGCUGCGGACUUGAGAUUUAUCUCAAGUGGUAGGAGAGCGUUCCGUAAGCGGAUGAAGGUCAACCGACGAGGUUGGCUGGACGUAUCGGAAGUGAGAAUGCUGACACGAGUAGCGAUUAGACGAGUGAGAACCUCGUCCGCCGAAAUCCCAAGGGUUCCUACGCAAUGCCAAUCAGCGUAGGGUUAGCCGGCACCUAAGGCGAGGCCGAAAGGCGUAGUCGAUGGAAAUCAGGUUAAUAUUCCUGAGCCAGUUGGAGGUUGACGGAUUCAGUAAAUUGUACGUCCUUAUUGGAUUGGAUGUGCAGUGAAUGAGUUCCAGGAAAUAGCACCAACAUGAAGGCCGUACCCCAAACCGACACAGGUGGAUGGGAUGAGAAUUCUAAGGCGAUUGGACGAACUCUUGUUAAGGAACUCUGCAAAAUGGUGCCGUAACUUCGGGAGAAGGCACGCCAUUGAAGGUGUAGUCACUUGCUGACGAAGCUUUUGAUGGCCGCAGUGAAAAGGUGGUAGCGACUGUUUAUCAAAAACAUAGGUCUAUGCAAACACGUAAGUGGACGUAUAUGGACUGACGCCUGCCCGGUGCUCGAAGGUUAAGAGGUGAGGUUAGACUUCGGUCGAAGCUUUAAAUCGAAGCCCGAGUAAACGGCGGCCGUAACUAUAACGGUCCUAAGGUAGCGAAAUUCCUUGUCGGGUAAGUUCCGACCUGCACGAAUGGUGUAACCAUGGCCACGCUGUCUCCACCCGAGACUCAGUGAAAUUGAAAUCGCAGUGAAGAUGCUGUGUACCCGCACCUAGACGGAAAGACCCCGUGAACCUUUACUAUAGCUUCACAGUGAACUUUGAAUUGUCUUGUGUAGGAUAGCUGGGAGGCUUUGAAGCGUUAACGCCAGUUAGCGUGGAGCCAAUCUUGAAAUACCAGCCUGGUCAAUUUGGGGUUCUAACUCAGGUCCAUUAUCUGGAUCGAGGACACUGUGUGGUGGGUAGUUUGACUGGGGUGGUCGCCUCC
rnacentral:rRNA from 1 species